rnacentral:rRNA from 1 species
GACGAACGCUGGCGGCGUGCCUAAUACAUGCAAGUAGAACGCUGAAGUGAGGAGCUUGCUCUUCUUGGAUGAGUUGCGAACGGGUGAGUAACGCGUAGGUAACCUGCCUUGUAGCGGGGGAUAACUAUUGGAAACGAUAGCUAAUACCGCAUAACAAUGGAUGACACAUGUCAUUUAUUUGAAAGGGGCAAUUGCUCCACUACAAGAUGGACCUGCGUUGUAUUAGCUAGUAGGUGAGGUAACGGCUCACCUAGGCGACGAUACAUAGCCGACCUGAGAGGGUGCUCGGCCACGCUGGGACUGAGACACGGCCCAGACUCCUACGGGAGGGAGCCGUAGCGGAUCUUCGGCAAUGGGGGCAACCCGGAACGAGCAACGCCGCGUGAGUGAAGAAGGUUUUCGGAUCGUAAAGAUCUGUUGUAAGUCAAGAACGAGUGUGAGAGUGGAAAGUUCACACUGUGACGGUAGCUUACCAGAAAGGGACGGCUAACUACGUG